rnacentral:rRNA from 1 species
AUUGAACGCUGGCGGCAGGCCUAACACAUGCAAGUCGAGCGGGGUUUUCGGACCUAGCGGCGGACGGGUGAGUAAUGCGUAGGAAGCUGCCCGAUAGAGGGGGAUACCAGUUGGAAACGACUGUUAAUACCGCAUAAUGUCUACGGACCAAAGUGUGGGACCUUCGGGCCACAUGCUAUCGGAUGCGCCUACGUGGGAUUAGCUAGUUGGUGAGGUAAUGGCUCACCAAGGCGACGAUCUCUCGCUGGUUUGAGAGGAUGAUCAGCCACACUGGAACUGGGACACGGUCCAGACUCCGACGGGAGGCAGCAGUGGGGAAUAUUGGACAAUGGGCGCAAGCCUGAUCCAGCCAUGCCGCGUGUGUGAAGAAGGCCUUCGGGUUGUAAAGCACUUUCAGUGAGGAGGAAGGGGUGUGUGUUAAUAGUACACACCUUUGACGUUACUCGCAGAAGAAGCACCGGCUAACUCUGUGCCAGCCGCCGCCGUAA